GGCCCCCCCGGUUGCGGUCCUUUAUCGGUCCAGCGCCGGGUCGGCUGAAGGUGAGAGACGGGGGACCGCGUUGCGCCGGGCAGCCACGAUUUUGGUGGGAGGACUCCGCGUCCACAACACUGAUCGAGCGCCUAACAUAGCACGCGGCCGUUUGGA
rnacentral:rRNA from 1 species